rnacentral:lncRNA from 1 species
UUGGCAAGGAAGGGAACAGAACAGCAGGAAUAUCCAUGCUAUGAAUGAAUGCCCAGGCAGGCCUAGCAGCCGCACCAUGAAUGCUUCUGCCUGCUUGCUGUAGAAACAUGGCCCAGCAUAUAUGCGAAAUGGAAUUAGGAGGGACACAUAGCAGUUAUUAGUGAUGAAAACGGAUCGAAUACGGACGGAUAUCAUCGAUAUCAUAUUUGUUUUCAUAUUUUUAGUCGAAUUCGGAUUCGAAUACGGAUAAUAUCAAAAAUGUCGGAUAAGAUAUGAUUGGAUAUCGACAUCAUAAAUAUACGAUUUAAGUAUUUGGAUACGGAUACGGUAUCGGAUGUUAAACAUUCGGACUCGGAUACGGAUAGAUCUGAACCUCUCUAAACGAAUUCGGUCUCGAAUACGGUCGGAAAAUAUUCGUACCGUUUUCAUCCCUAGCAGUAAUAGUGGAAAUCUUAUCAUUUCACAUCAGAUGGAUGCACAUCCUACUUCUGAUCUAUGCAUUGCAUACUCAUUUUUUUAUGGAAAUUGCAUACUUCAUUGUAAAAGUGGCGAAUUACAAUCAAGCAAUAACUAGAAACAAGAAUCAGGAACUAACUACAUCAUAGCCAAGUGGAAACAGAGGAAGAGAGGCCAAACCAGGUAAAUCACAAUCAACCAACACAUCCUUGAAACAAGAACCAGGAACUAACUACAUGCAGGGGGGAAAAGAAAUAAAGAAAGGUUACUCACAAGACAGAGGAGGUAGGUUGUGAUUUCACCUGCAAAAUUGAGUAAACAGAGGCAGGCAACUGGAUUUUGUAGAAUCCAAGCAAGACAAGAGGCCCAGCUCCAAAUUCAGGA